rnacentral:rRNA from 1 species
CUACGGGAUGCAGCAGUGGGGAAUAUUGCACAAUGGGCGCAAGCCUGAUGCAGCAAUGCCGCGUGAGGGAUGAAGGCCUUCGGGUUGUAAACCUCUUUUAGCAGGGAAGAAGCGAAAGUGACGGUACCUGCAGAAAAAGCACCGGCUAACUACGUGCCAGCAGCCGCGGUAAUACGUAGGGUGCAAGCGUUGUCCGGAAUUAUUGGGCGUAAAGAGCUCGUAGGCGGUUUGUCACGUCUGCUGUGAAAAUCCAAGGCUCAACCUUGGACUUGCAGUGGGUACGGGUAGGCUAGAGUGCGGUAGGGGAGAUUGGAAUUCCUGGUGUAGCGGUGGAAUGCGCAGAUAUCAGGAGGAACACCAAUGGCGAAGGCAGAUCUCUGGGCCGUAACUGACGCUGAGGAGCGAAAGCGUGGGGAGCGAACAGGAUUAGAUACCCUGGUAGUC